CUUCCGAGUCUUUGGUUGAGAUAGAAAGCAGGACGGUGGCCAUGGAAGUCGGAAUCCGCUAAGGAGUGUGUAACAACUCACCUGCCCAAUCAACUAGCCCUGAAAAUGGAUGGCGCUAGAGCGUCGGGCCCAUACCCGGCCGUCGCAAA